UUUCACGUAAGGGUUCACAAACAAAUAAAGUUUGAAAGAGCUAAAAGAAAGCUGAUUUUCCUUAAAAGAAAGAGUUUUGAAAUUCUUUUAAAAGAUACAAGAAAUAAGGGAAAGGGGGGGUCCUAUUUUAUUAACAAUAUAGAUCACCCCACACAAUGCCGGUAAUCGCUCCUCAAUGAGGGCUACGCGUGGCAUUAUCGUGUGGUCAUCAUAUGCAUAUCUACCCUCCCCACCCUGUUAAGGUAUUAAAGCGCGGAAUAGUCUUGUUUACUUAUUGCAUGCUAUUACUCGUCCCAAUCUUAUCAGUCCCGUAGGCAUUUAGGACUACUAUCCUAAGAGGGGAGAGAUAUUAGGUUUAUUUGUAGUUUUCAAAGGUAAAAACUCUAAGGCGACAUACAAAGCACGUAUUGCAAGUUGGGGAAAAAAAUAUAACAAGCAACAACUCAAAUAUACCUCCUUUAAUAAAGAAGCACAUAAUUAGCAUGACUUACACAUACUAGUUAAGGUCUGAUUAAACACUAAACGUGAGAGAACUUAAAGGUUGAGGCAUACUGAUUUAUUACAUAAUUAAGAUAAGAAGCCUGUAUCAGGCCUGCCUACUGGUUGUAGCUAUUAACAGAACCAGAUUUAGUUUAUAACUUUACCCUAAGGCUUACCUAAGUGUUGAAUAAGGAUCCUACAAGCAUGAUAUCCAUUGAAUUCAGAAAGAAGCGGAAUAACAAGGUCAAAAAAAUAAACUGGGCACGUAUAGGUUAAAAAAUGUAUCCAGCUUAAAAGAAAGGCAAGUUUUUAACGAAGAUUAUAAGUUCU
rnacentral:lncRNA from 1 species